rnacentral:rRNA from 1 species
UUAAGCGACUAAGCGUACACGGUGGAUGCCCUGGCAGUCAGAGGCGAUGAAGGACGUGCUAAUCUGCGAUAAGCGUCGGUAAGGUGAUAUGAACCGUUAUAACCGGCGAUUUCCGAAUGGGGAAACCCAGUGUGAUUCGUCACACUAUCAUUAACUGAAUCCAUAGGUUAAUGAGGCGAACCGGGGGAACUGAAACAUCUAAGUACCCCGAGGAAAAGAAAUCAACCGAGAUUCCCCCAGUAGCGGCGAGCGAACGGGGAGCAGCCCAGAGCCUGAAUCAGUGUGUGUGUUAGUGGAAGCGUCUGGAAAGGCGCGCGAUACAGGGUGACAGCCCCGUACACAAAAAUGCACAUGCUGUGAGCUCGAUGAGUAGGGCGGGACACGUGGUAUCCUGUCUGAAUAUGGGGGGACCAUCCUCCAAGGCUAAAUACUCCUGACUGACCGAUAGUGAACCAGUACCGUGAGGGAAAGGCGAAAAGAACCCCGGCGAGGGGAGUGAAAAAGAACCUGAAACCGUGUACGUACAAGCAGUGGGAGCAUGCUUAGGCGUGUGACUGCGUACCUUUUGUAUAAUGGGUCAGCGACUUAUAUUCUGUAGCAAGGUUAACCGAAUAGGGGAGCCGAAGGGAAACCGAGUCUUAACUGGGCGUUAAGUUGCAGGGUAUAGACCCGAAACCCGGUGAUCUAGCCAUGGGCAGGUUGAAGGUUGGGUAACACUAACUGGAGGACCGAACCGACUAAUGUUGAAAAAUUAGCGGAUGACUUGUGGCUGGGGGUGAAAGGCCAAUCAAACCGGGAGAUAGCUGGUUCUCCCCGAAAGCUAUUUAGGUAGCGCCUCGUGAAUUCAUCUCCGGGGGUAGAGCACUGUUUCGGCAAGGGGGUCAUCCCGACUUACCAACCCGAUGCAAACUGCGAAUACCGGAGAAUGUUAUCACGGGAGACACACGGCGGGUGCUAACGUCCGUCGUGAAGAGGGAAACAACCCAGACCGCCAGCUAAGGUCCCAAAGUCAUGGUUAAGUGGGAAACGAUGUGGGAAGGCCCAGACAGCCAGGAUGUUGGCUUAGAAGCAGCCAUCAUUUAAAGAAAGCGUAAUAGCUCACUGGUCGAGUCGGCCUGCGCGGAAGAUGUAACGGGGCUAAACCAUGCACCGAAGCUGCGGCAGCGACACUAUGUGUUGUUGGGUAGGGGAGCGUUCUGUAAGCCUGUGAAGGUGUGCUGUGAGGCAUGCUGGAGGUAUCAGAAGUGCGAAUGCUGACAUAAGUAACGAUAAAGCGGGUGAAAAGCCCGCUCGCCGGAAGACCAAGGGUUCCUGUCCAACGUUAAUCGGGGCAGGGUGAGUCGACCCCUAAGGCGAGGCCGAAAGGCGUAGUCGAUGGGAAACAGGUUAAUAUUCCUGUACUUGGUGUUACUGCGAAGGGGGGACGGAGAAGGCUAUGUUGGCCGGGCGACGGUUGUCCCGGUUUAAGCGUGUAGGCUGGUUUUCCAGGCAAAUCCGGAAAAUCAAGGCUGAGGCGUGAUGACGAGGCACUACGGUGCUGAAGCAACAAAUGCCCUGCUUCCAGGAAAAGCCUCUAAGCAUCAGGUAACAUCAAAUCGUACCCCAAACCGACACAGGUGGUCAGGUAGAGAAUACCAAGGCGCUUGAGAGAACUCGGGUGAAGGAACUAGGCAAAAUGGUGCCGUAACUUCGGGAGAAGGCACGCUGAUAUGUAGGUGAAGUCCCUCGCGGAUGGAGCUGAAAUCAGUCGAAGAUACCAGCUGGCUGCAACUGUUUAUUAAAAACACAGCACUGUGCAAACACGAAAGUGGACGUAUACGGUGUGACGCCUGCCCGGUGCCGGAAGGUUAAUUGAUGGGGUUAGCGUAAGCGAAGCUCUUGAUCGAAGCCCCGGUAAACGGCGGCCGUAACUAUAACGGUCCUAAGGUAGCGAAAUUCCUUGUCGGGUAAGUUCCGACCUGCACGAAUGGCGUAAUGAUGGCCAGGCUGUCUCCACCCGAGACUCAGUGAAAUUGAACUCGCUGUGAAGAUGCAGUGUACCCGCGGCAAGACGGAAAGACCCCGUGAACCUUUACUAUAGCUUGACACUGAACAUUGAGCCUUGAUGUGUAGGAUAGGUGGGAGGCUUUGAAGUGUGGACGCCAGUCUGCAUGGAGCCGACCUUGAAAUACCACCCUUUAAUGUUUGAUGUUCUAACGUUGACCCGUAAUCCGGGUUGCGGACAGUGUCUGGUGGGUAGUUUGACUGGGGCGGUCUCCUCCUAAAGAGUAACGGAGGAGCACGAAGGUUGGCUAAUCCUGGUCGGACAUCAGGAGGUUAGUGCAAUGGCAUAAGCCAGCUUGACUGCGAGCGUGACGGCGCGAGCAGGUGCGAAAGCAGGUCAUAGUGAUCCGGUGGUUCUGAAUGGAAGGGCCAUCGCUCA